ensembl:lncRNA
GGCUUGAAAUGGUUCAACGCUCAAUCAUUCUGAUUAUGUCUCUGAUAUUAAACUAACGUUUUAAUUUGUCUUAUGGGUACAAAGAAAAAAACGACUUCUGUGUCAUUAAAUUGCCAAAUAAUGGUUUGAUAUUAGCUCAUUUAAAAAUGUGCAGCCUAAGAAACAAGCUCUGCGACACACCCUUGGAAGAACUGAUCCCUGCAGGAUAUCACGAUUACGAAGUUGAGAGCAACGUGAUACAUCCAACCGGUCAUCGAGGCAACAUCCUCACUAGUGUUGGGGGCCAAAUCGAUGGCGACCACGCUGUGCAGUGGAUCGAGCAGAACAGUACCUACCGCCUUCUGUGCCUUCGGUUGAAAGGGUCUCCCGAAGCUGGAAUGGAAGAUGAAUCUCCGAAACCCUCCUCCUCCUUCUCCUCCUCCCUCUCCCUCUCCCUCUCCUUCUCCUUCUCCCUCUCCUUCUACUUCUCCUUCUCCCUCUCCUUCUCCUCCUUCUCCUUCUCCUCCUUCUCCCUCUCCUC